AGGAAAAGCAGUGAGGUAGGGCCUGUCUUGACCACACCGGCCAGAGAGAGGUAAGGUUCUUGCAAUAAAGAAAUUGAAGCACUUGGAUGCCUGAGACGAGCUCUUCAAAUUUCCAGCAAAUCACCUUUUCUUGCAGGAAUCAAAAUUUCUCUCUCUUGUUACCUCGCAUUUACUCAAUUCAUUAAAUCAUCUCCUCCAAUCAUUCCAAUGUGGAAUCGCCAAGAACACUCAGUAACAACAAGAAAAAGCCUUAAAUACUCCUGAGGAAACAAGGGGAAUGGAGCAAAGAAAAGGGAUAUAACCCAGAGUUGUAGAACGCCCUACACGUUUUUGGCAAGUUUGAACUUAGGGGUACCUCUGUCCCAUCUGAUGUGACCUUAAAACAGCUCGGAUCAGCUGUGGAGUCAGUGGGGAACUUGAGGAGGAAGAAGAGGAUUGAUUGACAUAUUGUCAACUCAAUUAUUUUUCCAUCAAUAAAAACUUCUCGGGGGCUUUCUGGUGGCCCAGUCGUUAUGAAUCCACCUUGCAGCGUCAGGGACACGAAGACCCUGCGUGCCACAACAAAGGCCCCAGGCAGUCAGAUAAAUAAGGAAAUGAAUAUUCUUUAAAAAUUCACAAAAGCUGAGACUCCACAGAAAACUGUAUGCGCAGAGAGAACUGACUAGGAAGAAGGGAUAUAGGAACCACCUGGUCUAUCACGUCUCAUACUUUAGCUGAUAAGCAACCCCACGGAGUAGGUACUGUUGUUACCACCAUCACACAGAUGAGAAGCUGAGAGAAGUGAGUUGCCUAACUGGUCAUUCAAAGAAGAACUUUAGUCCCCAGCCUGAAAAGAAGAAAAUGGGGAAUGAAAGAAGGAGCUGUUUGUUUAUUCAUGUUUUUAAGCUUAGAAGAAACAAAGAAUUAGACCAUGACACAUGCCAGAACUUCAAGUCGUUCCCCCAUUCUACUCUAGACUUCCUCCUAACUGCAAAAACCUCAGUUUCGCUCAGAGCUACAACUUACCCAGCUGAAAACAUUAACCUUCCCAGACUCCUUCAUAGCUAAUAGUCAGGUGACCCAGUUCUGGUCAAUGAGGCAUAUGUAGAAUUCCUUGGGGAUUUCUGGGAAGAGUGUCUAUCUUCCUGAUACCAGUACUUGCUCUUCUUCUUUCCUUUUCUUUCUGUCAAGAAUAUGACCACGACUCCUGGAGAUACAGCAACCAUCUUUCAAUAAUAAGGCUAAAGUCACAUGCUAUGAAUGAUAAGAAAAGCAAAAGUCAUGGUGUCUGGUGCAUGAGCAUCUAUGCUGGCUAUGGAUAUCCUGUCCCAUCUAGGACCUGCCCUUAUAUGAAAAAAUCUUGUA